UGAGCUGGAAGACGCGUUGACUAGACUGAGAGCUCAUGGUUCGAGCAGCGACGGAGCUUCUUAGGCGAGUCACUGAGUGGCACCGGAAGGAGAUAAAGGUUUUGGGAAGAAGAAGAGAAAACAGAGACGACAUUAACGGAGGAGCUCUUUAAGGUUUUUUUUAGUCGUCGUUAGUCGUGAGAAGAGAUUUUCCGGUGAUUGUUUAUGUUUAUUGUUUAUUUAGGCCCUCUUUAUUUUCUUUUUAUUGCAAAUGAACCCCAGAGUUUUGAAAAUUUAAGUACAAGUAAAACAAUCCCAACUCUGUGAUGCCAACAAGUGGCACAACGUAAUUGGAUAAAUGAUUUUAUACUAAAAAAUUAGGGCAUAAAAUAAAUUAUUCUUUUAACUAACUAUUGUGAUCUACUAUUUUUAAAAAUUUAAUGUAAUUUAUUAUGAUUGUGCACCAUAACUAUCUUUAACGAAAAUCAAUUAAUGCUCUUGAAAUACAAUAUUUGUUGAAAAUAUAUACAUAUAUUACAGUAGAAAGACAAAUAAAACAUUUCUAAGAAGUUAUACAGAUAUUAAAAACAUAAAUAUAAAAAGUAAAAUACAAAAAUUGACCAUACAAUACAUUUAUAUUGUAAGAGUAAUCAAAUAGUAAAAUAAAUAUUACAAAAAUUCAAGCAAAGACAAAAUACCAUAUCCUAGAAGCCUUUCUAUCAAUUAUACUUAUAUUAAAACAAAAUUAAUUUAUAAAAAAAGAUAAAUGAAAAGAAGUUUUGGCCGUCAGUUGGAAUUGGUUAUCCGGCGGCGUAGCGCGAGUUUUGUAUCUAGUAAAUUUAAAAGACCAUCAUGGAAAUGAAUUAUAAUAACAUUAUAUGAAUUAUAUUUUAAUCUAAUAUCUUGAUUUGUUGAAUAUGUUAAUUCAAAUGGACAGAUAAACUAAAAAGAACUUACAAUUUGACCAGUUUUCUUGAAGAAAAUAAAUUUCACAACUACAUAAAAAGUGAAAAACAAAUUAAGUACAUGUAAAGGAUUUUUUGACAAGUGAUAACUCUCUCUUAAAGGUGCGUGCAGAGCCGGUCCAAACGGCCGAGUUUCAAAGCUGCUAAAAACUUGCUGGUAUGUAAAGAAUCAUUCCUCUACCCUUUACGAUCUACACUUUAAACACAUUUACUUGCAAUUUUUUUCUUCUUUUCUUUUUGAAGUGGACAUGCUAAUUUCGUUUAUCUUUGGUGAGACUUUGAAAAUAAUGAUAUUGAAGAUAGCCAAGUUGUCAGUUUAGUUAAGCGCAUAGAGGCUUGUCUUCGUUUAAUAGACCCUUCUCUAAGCUUAAGACUAUGGGUUUCCUUAGAAGGAUACACCGAGGCAUUCACUUACAUGCCCCAAGUGUAAGGAGAUAAACCCAUUUGUUAGACCAUUUCAGACUUCAUCUUACAUCACAAACCCUUAUAAGUGUAUGAAGGAGAUUGCUGAUUGCAUGAUUGUACAAGGUCUCAUAGAACAUGUAUCUAUGGAUACUGGAUCCAAGAAUGUUGCGCUUCUUUCAGGUGAUGGGGACUUUUCUUUACCGUUGAAUUCUCUUAGAAGAUAUGGCUACAAAGUUUUUCUAUUCCAGAAAGAAGAUUCAAAGUAGGAGCUUAAAGUUAGUGCAUCUUACACAUGGGUGUUGCAGAAUAUCUUCUAAAAUAAUAUUGAUUAUCCACGCACAAUUUACCAGAUCUCGGUAAUUUAGUGAAUUUUAGUUAGUUUUUAGGUUUUGUCUUCUGAUAUUUUAUUAUAUGAUUUUUAAUAGUCGUUUUUCGUUAAUCAAGGAUCAAGUUUCUAAUAUAUGUUAUCAUGUUUACAUUAUUUGUCUAUUGUGGUUUGUUGUAUGAUUUACAUGGUUCUCAAGUCUUCAUUAACGACAUGUUCUUAAUCGGAUAACAUAUGCUUUAACUUUCCUACCAAAAAAAAAAAAAACAUUUGCUUUAACUUUCCUACCAAAAAAAAAACAUAUGCUUUAACUUUGUUAUGGAAAUGAGAAGAACCCGCUCACCAAAAAAAAAAGAAAGUUGUGUGAUACCAAAUAAACUCUCUAAUCCAGGAGGAACUAGCCGGACACCAUAGGCCCUCAUUGUUUUAUUUGUAUUGCAAAUUAUACCCAUACUUUUGAAAAUUAAGACAAGUAAGACUGUACUAAAUCGGAACUUCUAGGAAUUAAGGGGUAAACUCAGGAAUACAAAAUAUUUGUGGGGUUAAAAAUGAAAAGAUCCAAAUUUUUAGUUUCGGAGAAAAAAAGAGUUCUUUGGCCGGAGAACAACUUUCCCAUUUCCACAACUUCGAAAUCGAAAUCCAUCCAAACGUAAGAAUAAUGGCGGGAGCGAAUCAGGCGUGUAUCUUCUGUGAGAUCGUGCGAAAUCCAACCACCACUCGUCUCCUUCACACCGUUACCUUCUUCUUCCCUUCUCUUGUUGUUUGGAUCAUCAUCAGAGGCUAAAAUUGAAGAAGUUCUCUUACGUCUGCGAUUAUCUUUUUUUCAGGAUGAGAAAGUCAUCGCCUUUCAAGAUAUCAAACCUGCCGCCCAGAGGUUCGUGUCUCUGUUCACUCACUUUGCUUCUAUCGAUUUUUGUGAAUUGAGUUUGAUUCCGUUUUACUUAAGCUUUGUCUACUGUAAUCAAUUUGCAUCUCCUUGCUUAAUUGGCUACCAUUUACUAGUAUUUAUGAACAAAGCACUAAUGAUGUAGGCACUAUUUGGUGAUUCCAAAAGAACACAUUCCUACUGUGAAUGACCUUCAGAGAAGAGAUGAAGACUAUUCACUAGGUUGGUUAGCUAAACAUAUUUAUGUUUCAUUUUCUGUUAUACCUAUGUAAAUUUUCGAUAAGGAUGUUCGUUUUAUGACAGUAAGACACAUGCUUAGUGUGGGACAAGAACUGUUGCGGAAAGAUGCUCCUCAAAACAUUCAUAGGUGAGGUUUCUUGUUUACGAACACUAAAAUGGAACCACUUAUGAAUUUGGAGUAAGUAAGGCUUUUGAAACCCUCUAUCUAUAUGGGUUACUGUAAAUGAUGCUCCUUUUGGUAACUUAUGUAGCAUUAACCUGAUCUUUACUUUCUUCUCACAGAUUUGGUUUUCACCAGCCACCAUUUAACAGUGUUGAUCAUCUCCAUCUCCACUGUUUUGCUUUGCCUUAUGUGCCCAGGUACACAGAUAUGCUUCAUAGUCGUUGAUCUUUCUUGGGAAAUUCUUUGCAUCUCUCUUGUGAGGCCAUGAUUUAAAACUGCGAAUAAGCUUUCUUAUCAAAUAUUGUGAUUAAAACAGAUGGAAAGCCAUCAAGUACAAGUCUUUGGGACCUUUGGGUGGAUUUAUUGAAGCAGAGACACUGCUGGAGAAGAUAAGGCCUCUUCUUUCAAAGGUUUAACUGAACCCAACUUACGUAACUGCAGUGCUUUGCUUCUCUUUGCUAAAACUGUGCAAUAUCUCUUUUCUAUUCUUUUGCUGGCAAAUCUGUUAUCAAAUGCCAAAUAUUAUUGGGGAUUUUGUAUAUCAAAGAAGGAUGUGUCAAGUAAUUUAUAUGUAAGUUCUGCCACAGUCUAUUAGUUGUAGGCAGUGACGCCAAUCUCAUUGUUUCCAUAUUUUAUGGGUAUGAGACGUAUACAUGAAAGGAUUCUGAUAUAAUCUCUGGAGUAACUGACAUAAGAUGUAGACUUAAUCAGAUACUUAGACCCCUUAAUUCCAUAUGGAAUCUCUGAUAUAUGUGGGCCUUCUUGUGUUGCUUUGAUGAUCUGACAUCUCUAAAUGUAGGAGAGGUACUGGUUACAGUGAAUGAGAUCAUCAUACUCCAGCUUAACUGGCGCAGAUGUGUUCUUGCGGCAUCGUAGUUAUCUACAUAACAGGUAACCACGUCUUGAAUGAACUUGUACGUUAGUAGUGACCUUUCUGUGUUGUGAUCUUGUGAGGUGGAAGUAGUAUAGGUCAUGCUAACAAAAUUUAGGAGGUAUUAAGCACUGUGAUAGGGGAACAAUAGAGAGCAAAAACCUCGCUUAAGUUUCAGACUAUCACCUAUACUCGGGCGGUUCAGUUUACUCGUUUUCCCUUGUAGGGGGAUCCUUAGGUAUCAAUAGCGUGGAUAAGAGUUUUGAUCAUUACUAAAAACCUGAGCUUAUCUAAGUACUAGAUGCCAGUGAGACCAAAUCUUCUCUGUUCACACUUCACAAGCAACUUGUGCAGUUAGAUAGAAGUACAGCUUGCAGUUGCACUGCCUUUAGCUUCUUUGAGUGAUAUUUUAGAUGCGGGACUACAGUUUCUAAGAUAGUUUUUUUCUGAGAUCAAGUAAAAUAAUAAAGAUUUGUUAUGGUAUAACAUUCUGGGGACGUUUGAUAGGAACCACUAAAGGAAGUCAAGAAUAUGUGCUAACAAAACAACAAAAGGUCUUAAUGGUGUUAUGUCCUAAAUGAGUAGGAAACUGCAAUAAUUGAAAUUCUUGAUUUGCCAUUGUCUUGAAGUAUUUAGGCCCACAAAUUUGUAUAAGUUUUUUUUGGAUGGAUUUACUUGUAAUCGUCAACCACCCCUGUCAAAUACCAACUCUUUGUUUGGUUCUUGCUCUGUUUUUUAGUUCACAAAUUAUGUAAACGACAUAUAUACUGAUAUACACAUCAACAAAGCUUAUUUUCCUGAUAUUAUAAUUGGGUUGGUCUUGUCCUUAUACUUUGUUGUCUUUGAAGAAAGUUGCAGAGUGAUCAUGCGCUUCAAAAGCAGAUAACUUUUUACAAAAGAAUAUGAAUAGGUUUUGUUGAUUGGCAAUGAUUAUAGAUGAAGAGGUUGGUAAGUUCGUCUUAUCUGUUUGGUUACAUACAACUCUAAGGUCUCUCAAUAAGUUAUUAUUCCUCCCAUGUCUCAUUGUUUUGUUACAGUUGUGUGACUUGUGUAAACAUUUGCUGAUUCCAGUACUUUAUAGGAUCAUAUUAGCAGAUUAACCACUUGAAGUGUAUGCAGUUUAUGGAAAUAAGUAGUGUAUGCAAUUAAUGGAAAUAAGUGGUAAUCUCAUGUAUCGACUAGCUUUUUGACUAAAUCAAAUCUCUAGUAACCUUUGUGUUUAUGGAGACACAAGAAAGCUUAUAUAAAGCUAAAGCUGGCCCCUGUGAGGACAACAGCUCUGGUGAAGAAGACAGGCUUGAGCCUUUUCUUCUUGGAGUGACGAACCAAAGUAUUGAUUUUUUUUCCAUAAAACUACAAAGCUGCAAUAAACGUCACUCUCAAGUCUCAAACCUUAGGUUUGCUUUUGCUUCAUUGGUUCCUUCUUCUCGUUUUUUGUUUUUUCGAGUACAGCUAAUUUAAUUUCCUACAUAAUUUUUCGAACUCGCCUCUCUGUUAACAGCUGUAUCCAAAAUUUAGAUUUAAAUAUUUUAGUUUUCUAAAGAAAAGAAUCCAUGCUCUCUUUAAUUAAGAGCUGACGAAUCCUCCAUAGUCCAUAUCCAAUACCAACCAUGGACACGGUUUCGUUUCGUUUUCAAAGUUUCCAAUGCUUUUUUAGUAAAAUAAGGCACGUAUUUUUGAUGUUCCAAAUUUUCAAUGCGCGAAACUUAUCCUAUAAAUUACUUUGCGUAUUUUAAAAUAGAAGAAAAGAAAAAAGUAUCGGCUUGUACUGGAGGAGGUUGGUGAAUUUUAUAAGACCCUUUGUCCUCUAGCGAUUCUCUACCUAAUCUAGCUUCAAUACAACAUAGCCACUGGCAUUUUAUAUUAAUGCUAGUAAUUGUUAUCUAAUCUUUGUGUGAUGAUUGAUUAGUUUAGAUUAUAUGUUCAUGAAAAUCGGUGUUAAAAUCAGGAUAGGUAUUGGAACAAGAUAUACGUUCUUGGGAUAAACAAUGCAUCCCUUAUUCCCUUUUUAUCUUUUACAGAAUCCAUAAAACAUUGAUAUCAUAACGUGUAAAGUAUAUGUAUGGAAUGAUAAAGUUUGGCUGCAUGAUAGAUGAUUAAUCAAGCUGCGGUCGACAAAUUGGCUUGGUGUUUGGUUCGGUUUGAUUAGAUGUUUGAUUAAUUGGUUAAAUGCUUGGUUAUUUGUUUAGACUUGAUAUUAAGAGAGCAAUUUUUUUAAAAAAAUGCAGUAGUAAAAAAUUGUCAGGUGAGACAAUACCGAAGGAGAAUUUAAGUGUGUGUGUGUGUAUGUGGAGAAGAGUGAGGUACACGUACCUUUCUCUCUCUUUCUACUCUUUAACCCUGUCCAUGGCAUGGCAAUAUCCCCACCUGGCUUGUCUAUAUGUGGCUUGGACUCUAUAUAUUUUCUUUGCUUUUAACAAAAUUAUUAUUUAUGGUUUUUAGCUUCUCAAGGCUUUGAUAUCAUCCGAGGGUAUGGAUUGGAGAUAAAUGUUAUAGCCAAUUAAAAAGGUUGACACUGAAUUUUAACUGGUACCUUAAUGAGAGUAAGAAAAUAAAAGAAACGUAGGUCUAAUAAAUGUAUAGUUGCAUGCGAAACUCCCCCAUCUCAUCAAUGAACAAUCCAGUUGACUUCUUCCAAUCAUCAAGAGGAGCCAGACAUUGCAAGUUUCAACAUACCCACUGCGCUUUAGCAAAUGUAAAAUGGUUUUAGUUUCCUGUCUAAAUCUAAUUCUUUAUUAUGUAGUAGGAUUUACUCUGCAUGCCACUCUUUUUAUCAUACGACUUUGUUUCAGUGAUGGUUUUCUCGAUAGCGAGACGAUAAGCUCUGUUACGGCGAGAAUCAUUGAGCAUGUCGAGAUACGACGUCGUCGCGAGGAGGCCGUCAGUGGAAGUUCCGGGUUGGUCAUUGUCUUCGAUGACAAUCCACUCGGAAUUGCCGGUGAGAGGGUCUUGUCUGAGCUGGAAGACGCGUUGACUAGACUGAGAGCUCAUGGUUCGAGCAGCGACGGAGCUUCUUAGGCGAGUCACUGAGUGGCACCGGAAGGAGAUAAAGGUUUUGGGAAGAAGAAGAGAAAACAGAGACGACAUUAACGGAAGAGCUCUUUAAGGUUUUUUUUAGUCGUCGUUAGUCGUGAGAAGAGAUUUUCCGGUGAUUAUUUAUGUUUAUUGUUUAUUUAGGCCCUCUUUAUUUUCUUUUUAUUGCAAAUGAACCCCAGAGUUUUGAAAAUUUAAGUACAAGUAAAACAAUCAUAACUCUUUGUGAUGCCAAAUAGGCAAACACUAUACCAAAUCAGAGAUAAUAGAAUU
rnacentral:lncRNA from 1 species